UACGAAGGGGGCUAGCGUUGCUCGGAAUUACUGGGCGUAAAGGGCGCGUAGGCGGCCCUAUCAGUCAGGCGUGAAAUCCCUGGGCUUAACCUGGGGGCUGCGCUUGAUACGGUGGGGCUAGAGGAUGGAAGAGGCUCGUGGAAUUCCCAGUGUAGAGGUGAAAUUCGUAGAUAUUGGGAAGAACACCGGUGGCGAAGGCGGCGAGCUGGUCCAUUACUGACGCUGAGGCGCGACAGCGUGGGGAGCAAACAGG
rnacentral:misc_RNA from 1 species